UCCUACGGGACGCAGCAGUGGGGGAUAUUGCACAAUGGGGGGAACCCUGAUGCAGCGACGCCGCGUGGGUGAAGAAGCGCCCCGGCGCGUAAAGCCCUGUCAGCAGGGAAGAAGAAGGACGGUACCUGACCAAGAAGCCCCGGCUAACUACGUGCCAGCAGCCGCGGUAAUACAUAGGGGGCAAGCGUUAUCCGGAUUUAUUGGGUGUAAAGGGUGCGUAGACGGAGAAACAAGUUGGUUGUGAAAUCCCUCGGCUCAACUGAGGAACUGCAACCAAAACUAUUUCCCUUGAGUGUCGGAGAGGA
rnacentral:rRNA from 1 species